UAGAGUUUGAUCCUGGCUCAGAUUGAACGCUGGCGGCAGGCCUAACACAUGCAAGUCGAGCGGAAACAGGAAAGUAGCUUGCUACUUUCGCUGUCGAGCGGCGGACGGGUGAGUAAUGCCUAGAUAUCUGCCUAGUCGUGGGGGAUAACAGUUGGAAACGACUGCUAAUACCGCAUACGCCCUACGGGGGAAAGGAGGGGACCUUCGGGCCUUUCGCGGUUAGAUGAGUCUAGGUGGGAUUAGCUAGUAGGUGAGGUAAUGGCUCACCUAGGCGACGAUCCCUAGCUGGUCUGAGAGGAUGAUCAGCCACACUGGAACUGAGACACGGUCCAGACUCCUACGGGAGGCAGCAGUGGGGAAUAUUGCACAAUGGGCGAAAGCCUGAUGCAGCCAUGCCGCGUGUGUGAAGAAGGCCUUCGGGUUGUAAAGCACUUUCAGCGAGGAGGAAAGGUUGGUGGUUAAUAACCAUUAGCUGUGACGUUACUCGCAGAAGAAGCACCGGCUAACUUCGUGCCAGCAGCCGCGGUAAUACGAGGGGUGCAAGCGUUAAUCGGAAUUACUGGGCGUAAAGCGUACGCAGGCGGUUUGUUAAGCCAGAUGUGAAAGCCCUGGGCUCAACCUAGGAAUUGCAUUUGGAACUGACAGGCUAGAGUCCUGUAGAGGGGGGUAGAAUUUCA
rnacentral:rRNA from 1 species